rnacentral:rRNA from 1 species
UGCAGUCGCUCGGCCAUCUGGUGGAUGGCUCGGCUCGAGUGCCGACGAAGGUCGUGCCAAGCCGCGAUAGGCGAGGGGUAGGCGCAAGGAACCUUAGAUCCCUCGAUCGCCUAAUAGGACUUCCUGCUAGAGCAAACCUCUAGCGAUCCAUGCGGAUAGGGAACUCCCCGAAUUGAAACAUCUUAGUAGGGGAUGGAAAAGAAAUCAAAUGAGAUGCCGUGAGUAAAGUCGAUCGAAAGCGGUGUAGAGCAAACCGAAUCCUUCCAGAAAUGGUAAGGACAUGGGGUGUUUUGGAUCCUGGCACAUCUUACCCAUCCAAUGCGAAGUCUCUUGGAAUAGAGCACCAAAGAGGGUGAUAGUCCCGUAGGAGAUAGAUGGAAAGAUGAUUCGGGGUCUCCAGAGUAGCGUGCGUUGGAUAACGCGCGUGAAUUUGGGAGGCAUACACUCCCAACCCUAAACACAACUCGAGACCGAUAGUAAACUAGUAUCGUGAGUGAAAGCUGAAAAGUAUCCUUGACGGGAGAUGAAAAGAACCUGAAACCAGAUGGUUACAGACUGAUAGUGCAUGAAAGGGACGAAGCUCUUUAGCAAGAGUGGACCGAUGUGCUAUCGUACGUUCUGAAAAACGGGCCAGAGAGUUCUGAUCCAUGGCGAGGCUAAGCCUGCUAAGGGCGGAGCCAAAGGGAAACCAACAAGUUCGCAUCCCGCAUCUGCGGGAGAGGAACGAGGUGUGCUCGCCUGGAGUCAUCGGUCAGAGAUCCGAAACCGGUCGAUCUAUGCCUGGGCAAGGUGAAGCCUUCCGAAAGGGAGGGGGAAGCCUGCAGGGGUAGUGAGCUACAAAUCCUUCCCAUGACCUGGGUAUAGGGGUGAAAGUCCAAUCUAGACCGGAUAUAGCUGGUUCCUUCCGAGACUACUCGAAGGGAGGCCCUGUUUGAGGUAGAUGAUGGCGUAGAGCACUGAUUGGGUAUUCGGGGGCGAGAGCCCUUGGUAUCCUGUCAAACUCCGAAUUCAUCAUCGCCGUAGACGACAGGAGUGAGGGCGCCGGGGUAAGCCUGGUGUCCGAAAGGGCAAGAACCCAGCCUAGGGUUAAGGUCCCAUGAAUGCCGACUAAGUGUUAGAUUGAAGGGUGUCCGCAGUCCAAAACAACUAGGAGGUGGGCUUAGAAGCAGCCUUCCUUUAAAGAGUUCGUAACAGAUCACUAGUCGAGAUUGUGGGCCCCGAAAAUGGACGGGGCUAAGUCGGCUACCGAUACCCUAGAGUACUGAAAAGUAAUCUGGUAGGAAGGCGUCGUGCGUGGGUAGAAGCUUGGUCGUGAGAUCGAGUGGACCGCGUUCGAACGAGAAUUCUGGUAUGAGUAGCAGCAAAGAACGGUGAGAAUCCGUUCCGCCGUAGGGGCUAGGGUUCCUCGGCAAUGAUUAUCAGCCGAGGGUUAGCCGGUCCUAAGGUGACUCUUAACCGAAGUCACCGAACAGGGAAACAGGUUAAUAUUCCUGUGCCUCUAGCGUCUCUGCCCAGUCUAUGACGCAUCGGGAUCGCUUGAGCAGAGCCCUCGCUCUGUCGAAUCGUAUAAGUCCGGGGAGAACCGUAAUGGUGAGAACCGGAUGAAAGCUUGAUAGGGCGGACUGAGUCCGCUUCAGGCUAAUCCUGGUGCCCGUGAAAAGUAAACUGGUUAACAACGCUAGAGACCGUACCGAGAACUGACACAGGUGUCCCUGCCAUAGCAAGGCAAGGCGUGUCGGAUAAAAUCAGGCUAGGGAAUUCGGCAAAUUGGCCCCGUACCUUCGGUAGAAGGGGUGCCAGUCAUGUGAAUGGCUGGUUGCAAUAACAAGGGGUCCUCGACUGUUUAAUAAAAACACAGAUGGCAGCUAGUUCGAAAGGAUUUGUACUGCCGUCGAAUCCUGCCCAGUGUCGGUAUCUGAAUCCCUCUUACAAGAGGUGGAAGGACCGAUAAACGGCGGGAGUAACUAUGACUCUCUUAAGGUAGCGUAAUACCUUGCCGCUUAAUUGGCGGCUUGCAUGAAGGAUCAACGAAGGACCCACUGUCCCAGCCCGAUAUCCGGGGAAAAUGACAUUCUGGCGCACAGUCCAGAAUCCUCUACUUGAAAGAGAAGACCCUGUGGAGCUUGACUGCAAUCUGUUGUUGGGGCAUGACCUCAAAUGUGCAGUGUAGGUAGGAGCCGUUACACAGGUGCGAGCGCAAGCUUGUCGCCGAGGCGUCCAUGAAACACUACCCUUUUGAGAUCGUGUCCCUAACCGCUUCGGUGGGACAUCGAUAGACGGGCAGUUUGGGUGGGGCGCCACACCCUUGAAAAGAUAACAAGGGCGUCCAAAGGUCGGCUCAGGUGGG